GGGCGCAUGUCUCAGUUGGUAAAGCGUUCCCUUGCAAAGAGAACGUUACCGGUUCCACUUCGGUUGUGUCCA
rnacentral:tRNA from 1 species